rnacentral:rRNA from 1 species
AGGACAAACGUUGGCGGCGUGCUUAACACAUGCAAGUCGAACGGUCCUUCUUAGGAAGGAUAGUGGCGGACGGGUGAGUAACACGUAGUUGACCUGCCCAAUAGUGGGGAAUAACUCCUCGAAAGAGGAGCUAAUACCGCAUAAGCUCACUGUCGUUGGACAAUGAGGAAACGCUCUUCGCAAGAAGGGUGGCUAUAGGAGGGGACUGCGGCGGAUUAGCUAGUUGGUGAGGUAAUUGCUCACCAAGGCGACGAUCCGUAGCUGGUCUGAGAGGACGACCAGCCACACUGGGACUGAGACACGGCCCAGACUCCUACGGGAGGCAGCAGUGAGGAAUAUUCCACAAUGGGCGAAAGCCUGAUGGAGCGACGCCGCGUGCGGGAUGAAGCCCUUUGGGGUGUAAACCGCUUUUUUAGGGAUGAUACGGCGUCCGUAAGGGUCUAAGACAGUACCCUAAGAAUAAGCCUACGGCUAACUACGUAGCCAGCAGCCGC